rnacentral:rRNA from 1 species
GAUGAACGCUGGCGGCGUGCUUAACACAUGCAAGUCGAACGGGAAAUCUUUCAUUGUGCCUUCGGUGGAUUUGAUUUAUUUCUAGUGGCGGACGGGGGAGUAACGCGUUGGUAACCUGCCUUAUACAGGGGGAUAACAGUCAGAAAUGGCUGCUAAUACCGCAUAAGCGCACAGAGCUGCAUGGCUCAGUGUGAAAAACUCCGGUGGUAUAAGAUGGACCCGCGUUGGAUUAGCUAGUUGGUGGGGUAACGGCCCACCAAGGCGACGAUCCAUAGCCGGCCUGAGAGGGUGAACGGACACAUUGGGACUGAGACACGGCCCAGACUCCUACGGGAGGCAGCAGUGGGGAAUAUUGCACAAUGGGGGAAACCAUGAUGCAGCGACGCCGGGUGAAGGAAGAAGUAUCUCGGUAUGUAAACUUCUAGCAGCAGGGAAGAUAGUGACGGUACCUGACUAAGAAGCCCCGGCUAACUACGUG